UUGGUUUUAAGUUCAAAAGUCAAUAACAGAUUUAUCCUCUAAUUCCAUGAUUGUAUGGAGCCUUCAUCCUGUUGAUAGCCAAAAAAACAACCAUGUCAAACUAUUUAUUAUAAAACAAUUAUGAAAAAGAUACAUACAUAUGUAUUCAUCAGAAAAAAGUAGGAAAAAAAUUGAGGGUAAGAGUAUAUAUAUACUUGGAAUGAUGAUUAUUGGUAUGUAGAAAAUGAGGACAUUUAAGUGAGAUACAAUUGGGGACGCAAUUUGGAUCAAGAUUGGUCGAGCACACAUCCUGACAACAUCUCACACAAUCUGCACCUGACUGAGUCAUGACCUCUCCUAUUAGGAUUCCAACUAACACCAUCAUCAUUAUCACUUUCAUCAUCCCCAUCUCUUCUUCUUCUUUUAAUCUUUAAU
rnacentral:lncRNA from 1 species